rnacentral:rRNA from 1 species
GCUAAUACCGGAUAGGUAAAACGAGGGCAUCUUCGUUUUAUUAAAGUAGGGCUACUACACAGUAUGAUGAGUUUAUGGCGCAUUAGCUAGUUGGUGAGGUAACGGCUCACCAAGGCGAUGAUGCGUAGCCGACCUGAGAGGGUGACCGGCCACACUGGGACUGAGACACGGCCCAGACUCCUACGGGAGGCAGCAGUAGGGAAUUUUCGNNNNNGGGCGCAAGCCUGACCGAGCAACGCCGCGUGAGUGAAGAAGGCCUUCGNGNUGUAAAGCUCUGUUGUAAGGGAAGAACACUUUUUAGAGGAANUNNUAGAGAGCUGACGGUACCUUACCAGAAAGCCNNGGCUAACUANNNGCCAGCAGCCGCGGUAAUACGUAGGUGGCGAGCGUUAUCCGGAAUUAUUGGGCGNNAAGGGUGCGUAGGCGGUUUAUUAAGUCUGUGGUGAAAGUGCGGGGCUCAACCCCGUAUGGCCACAGAAACUGAUAGACUAGAGUACAGGAGAGGGCAGUGGAAUUCCAUGUGUAGCGGUAAAAUGCGUAGAUAUAUGGAGGAACACCGGUGGCGAAGGCGGCUGCCUGGCCUGUAACUGA